GAGAAAACCUACGAAGAUAGAUCUUUAAAGAACACAGAUCUUUAAAGAACAAGAGACAACCAUGAAAGAGGUGUUCAGCCCAACGGUCACAUCCUCAAAUAACUAUUUCAGGCUCCAGUCAUCUUGCUCAGUUCCGCGGGCUCUUCCCUCCCGUCCUCCGACGGCGGCCACGCAGGCAGAAUAACCUCAAACUCCUGGGACCCCACAAACUUCCUCAACUUCUCCUCAGUCGUCCCAAACCCUGCCGCCAGCUCCGGCCCCAUCAUGAUCGUCAGGACGGACUUAAGCCCCGCAAGAAACUGUGGCCUGUUCGGUCUUGCCGAGGUCGUGAAUCCAAAUAACUCCAUCGGGCUGUUCCGAGAAGCUAUGUGGCAGAAUGGGAAAUAGCGUGGCACCCAGAACACGUCUCCCUCAUGGACUUCGGCGUUCAUUGCUAAAGUUCCAUUCGGGUAUACUAUCUGAAUGGUCCCUUCACCGGCGAGCACAACACCGUACUCAGAUGCAAUUGGGUUCACAUGCGGCGCCAUCAUCGCUCCAGCGGUGAGG
rnacentral:misc_RNA from 1 species